UUUUGACAACAAAGGUGACCUCUAGCACUUUACUCUUUCAAAAUUCUCUUGCACGAUAUUAAGAACCCUAAAUCCUCUUCUCUCAAAGCCUUUGUUUAUCCACGAGAACUCCAUUGAUGGAUGAGAUACCUAAUCUCAGUCUUAGGCCUCUAGUUGAGGAGCUUUGAUACACCAGAGUGAUGAUUUUUGAAGUUCAUACGUUUCUAGGGUUGAAGUAACAUUGGAUCCUCAGGCAACUAGGAUAUAUGAAGGUGGUUUGGCCAAUGUCUUCGUCGUCAAGGAUAUACUUAACCCUUGAAUUUGGAAGAAAUUUAAAACCCCUCACAUGUCUCUGGGUAAUAUCCUGGCAGAUUCUGCUUCUGAGCGACUUGAAUUUACUGCUCACAAAGGACAAGAGACCCAAAGUAUCAACAAAAGGUUCUGAAGACUCGAGUCUAUAAAGAGAAGAUGCAAAUUUUGAAGACUUUCUUACGAGUCAAUUAUCAUUUUGCUAGGAGUGUUAGCCUGAAGCUUAUGCUAUAUAUAUAUAUAUAUAUAUAUAUUUGGCUGGGGUUUUGUGUAAUAAUGCAAUGACUAAUAGGCUACUUUAUUUGCUUUUUCUAAUUAAUUACAGAAGUAUGAAUGAAAGAAUGGUACUUUCUUAUGA